rnacentral:rRNA from 1 species
AUGGCGAGCCUGCGCCCGGUGCAGGGUUUAGGGUGCGAUGCGGCGGUGGGGUCGCUGGUGCCCAGCGGGAGCCGGGAGUUCAAGCUCUGCAGCAAGCACACUGAGGGCAAGCGUCCGCUCUACGCCAUCAGCUUCAACUUCAUCGACGCCCGCUACUACGACGUCUUCGCCACCGCCGGCGGCAAUCGUGUGACAACGUACCGUGGCCUCCCCGACGGUAACUUGGCUGUUCUGCAAGCAUACAUUGAUGCGGACGAUGCUCAGUCAUUCUACACUCUGAGCUGGGCUUCUGACCUUCGCAGCACACCACUGCUAGUGGCAGCAGGAACCAAUAUGGUCAUUCGGGUCAUCAACUGUGCCACCGGGAAGUUGUUUAAGAGUUUUAUUGGCCAUGGUGGUUCAAUAAAUGAGAUCAGAACUCAACCAUUGAAUCCUUCGCUCUUCAUUUCUGCAAGCAAGGACGAGUCUGUUAGGCUAUGGAAUGUCCAUACAGGGAUCUGCAUCUUGAUUUUUGCUGGAGGAGGAGGUCACCGUCAUGAUGUAUUGAGUGUUGACUUCCACCCUUCUGAUGUGCACCGAAUUGCCAGUUGUGGCAUGGAUAAUACAGUUAAAAUAUGGUCAAUGAAAGAAUUUUCGCCAUACGUGAAGAAAUCCUUUACAUGGACUGACCUUCCAUCAAAAUUUCCAACAAAAGUUGUCCAAUUUCCGCUUAUGACUUGCGUGGUGCAUUCUAACUAUGUUGACUGUACUAGGUGGCUUGGUGACUUCAUCCUGUCGAAGAGUGUUGAAAAUGAAAUUGUUCUGUGGGAGCCAAAAACAAAAGAGCAGGGUCACGGCGAGGGAGAUAGCAUUGAUGUUCUUCAGAAGUACCCUGUGCCCGAUUGUGACAUUUGGUUUAUCAAAUUUUCAUGUGAUUUUCACUUCAAUCAAUUAGCAAUAGGCAACCGUGAAGGCAAAAUCUAUGUGUGGGAUGUGCAGACGUGCCCUCCUGAGCUAAUUACCAUGCUGAGUAGUCCGCAAUGCAAAAUUACAAUAAGGCAGACUGCAGUGUCGUUUGACGGAAGCACGUUCGUUGCCUGCAGCAAGGAUGGCAGCAUAUACCGCUGGGACGAAGUGGAACAUGAAGCUGCGAAAAAUUGA